CAAACAUUGCAAUGUAACAUGGUACAUAGCAUGUAUCUGUAGGUUGGCUGGCUGAGAGGCUUAUUGCCGGACUCUGUGGCUAUACCUUGGUAGUAGGUUGGCCAAAUUAAGUAAUGGAGGUGAGCUGUGUAUUAGGCGGUCUGUAGCCGUGCUUGAGGCUGUUCAACAAGUGCCCGCUAGUGGCAGCUCGCCAAACCUGGGGGGCCUGAGUGUCUAAUCAUUGGUCAGAGACAGUUUAGCUAGGUACAAGUGUGUAUCUAGACCAUAGGCGUGCGCAGCCAAUUGCAUUAGGGUGUGCACCCUAAAGCACAAGCACAC